rnacentral:rRNA from 1 species
UGGGGAAUAUUGGACAAUGGAGGAAACUCUGAUCCAGCAAUUCUGUGUGUGUGAAGAAGGUUUUAGGACUGUAAAACACUUUUAGUAGGGAAGAAAAAAAUGACGGUACCUACAGAAUAAGCAACGGCUAAAUACGUGCCAGCAGCCGCGGUAAUACGUAUGUUGCGAGCGUUAUCCGGAAUUAUUGGGCUUAAAGGGCAUCUAGGCGGUAAGACAAGUUGAAGGUGAAAACCUGUGGCUCAACCAUAGGCUUGCCUACAAAACUGUUGAACUAGAGUACUGGAAAGGUGGGUGGAACUACACGAGUAGAGGUGAAAUUCGUAGAUAUGUGUAGGAAUGCCGAUGAUGAAGAUAACUCACUGGACAGAAACUGACGCUGAAGUGCGAAAGCUAGGGGAGCAAACAGG